UACGGAGGGUGCUAGCGUUGUUCGGAAUUAUUGGGCGUAAAGGGCGCGUAGGCGCCCUGUGUGUCGGGUGUGAAAGCCCACCUCUUAAAGGUGGAAUUGCAUUCGAAACUACAGGGCUGGAGUGUCGGAGAGGAUGGCGGAAUUCCUGGUGUAGAGGUGAAAUUCGUAGAUAUCAGGAGGAACACCGGUGGCGAAGGCGGCCAUCUGGACGACAACUGACGCUGAGGCGCGAAAGCGUGGGGAUCAAACAGGG
rnacentral:rRNA from 1 species